ACGAAAAAUAACGAUACGGGACUCAUCCGAGGCCCCGUAAUCGGAAUGAGUACACUCUAAAACCUUUAACGAGGAUCAAUUGGAGGGCAAGUCUGGUGCCAGCAGCCGCGGUAAUUCCAGCUCCAAUAGCGUAUAUUAAAGUUGUUGCGGUUAAAAAGCUCGUAGUCGAAUUUGUGUCCCGCGCCGCCGGUUCAUCGCUCGCGGUGUCAACUGGCGUGUCCGCGGGACGUCCUGCCGGUGGGCAAAGCUCUCGCGGGCGGCGCCCAAUCUCAAUCCCACUGCGGUGCUCUUCACUGAGUGUCGCGGCGGGCCGGCACGUUUACUUUGAACAAAUUAGAGUGCUUAAAGCAGGCUAAAACAUAGCCCGAAUACUGUGUGCAUGGAAUAAUGGAAUAGGACCUCGGUUCUAUUUUGUUGGUUUUCGGAACCCCGAGGUAAUGAUUAAUAGGAACGGAUGGGGGCAUUCGUAUUGCGACGUUAGAGGUGAAAUUCUUGGAUCGUCGCAAGACGGACAGAAGCGAAAGCAUUUGCCAAAAACGCUUUCAUUGAUCAAGAACGAAAGUUAGAGGUUCGAAGGCGAUCAGAUACCGCCCUAGUUCUAACCAUAAACGAUGCCAGCUAGCGAUCCGCCGACGUUCCUCCGAUGACUCGGCGGGCAGCUUCCGGGAAACCAAAGCUUUUGGGUUCCGGGGGAAGUAUGGUUGCAAAGCUGAAACUUAAAGGAAUUGACGGAAGGGCACCACCAGGAGUGGAGCCUGCGGCUUAAUUUGACUCAACACGGGAAACCUCACCAGGCCCGGACACCGGAAGGAUUGACAGAUUGAGAGC
rnacentral:rRNA from 2 species